rnacentral:rRNA from 1 species
CACAAGCGGUGGAUGAUGUGGUUUAAUUCGAUGCAACGCGAAAAACCUUAACCCACCUUUGACAUGUACGGAAUCCUUUAGAGAUAGAGGAGUGCUCGAAAGAGAGCCGUAACACAGGUGCUGCAUGGCUGUCGUCAGCUCGUGUCGUGAGAUGUUGGGUUAAGUCCCGCAACGAGCGCAACCCUUGUCAUUAGUUGCUACAUUUGGUUGGGCACUCUAAUGAGACUGCCGGUGACAAGCCGGAGGAAGGUGGGGAUGACGUCAAGUCCUCAUGGCCCUUAUAGGUGGGGCUACACACGUCAUACAAUGGCUGGUACAAAGGGUUGCCAACCCGCGAGGGGGAGCCAAUCCCAUAAAGCCAGUCGUAGUCCGGAUCGUAGUCUGCAACUCGACUACGUGAAGUCGGAAUCGCUAGUAAUCGUGGAUCAGAAUGUCACGGUGAAUACGUUCCCGGGUCUU